GCCAUAAAAUUAGAAAAAAAGUACUAAGUAAGCAAUAAGCAUAGACUACGAUGUAAUAUAUUAUAUAGGUCACACACAGUAAGCAGAUUACGCACUAGGCAGUAGCCACCACAGAACACUAUUACUACUAGCGAGAAAGAACGACAUCAUAGUAAAAAAAUGCAUACACCACCGCAGUUAAUGCCAUCGGUACUAUCGUCUGGCGCGAGAAUUUAAAAUGAUAUUGUCAGUGUUGGCAUUAGCUGAAGCUGAUACGAAAGCUGACGGACUGUGGUAGCCACGGCUAUCGGCCGGACAUCUUUAUGUAUGUUCAAUCGAGUUAAAAAUAUACGCCCUCCCCUCUACCAAUUUAAAACAUGAAAUUUAACAACAUCUGAAUCGUGGCUCUGGUGAUGAUAAAAACAUGAAAAUUAGUAUUUUAUAAAAUAUUAAAAAACACUUUAUUGUAACACACAAACAUAUAACGCACAAUUACACAUAGGUAUAGAACAUUAUUUUCACUUCUUAAGAAGAAUUACAUAGAAGUUGUUUAGAUACAAUUUAAUGGUUGCAUGUUAUUUGGCAAUAAAUAAAAACUUAAUUACUUUUUUUUUGUUUAGGGUUACAAUAAAAUAAUAAAUUAGAAGGAACUCACAUUAUCUUUGCAACAGUAUUCACAUAAACUCUAGUCUAUUAUGAAACCGUAAUUCAGAGUGGGAAUAUUCAACAUGUUUUACAGAAUAAAGUAGUAUAACAAAUGUCACAUUAAGGUUGAGCAAUGUAGGAUAUAAAUAGAUAUAAGGAAUUUCUUUAAAAUCUAUGUUAAAAGCUCUUAACAGUUAAAAUGAAUAUUUCACACUGAAAGUGUUAGAUCCUUUAUGAAUUUACACAAACAAAUGUAACACAUUAUU